rnacentral:rRNA from 1 species
GACCCGUACCGAUCCCGCCGGGUUGUUCUGGGUAAAGCGCUACGGGUGUGUGCCCGUGUGUCUCAGGUAGUAAGACUUUCUUUUUUUUUUGAGGAUGAUCCCUUAGACGAGGGCCGCGUGCGGCCGGCCUAGCGGCCGGAGGGCGGCAGCCGCGUGGGGUCCUUCUCUCUAGCCGAGCCAAGUAGACUCCUAAACGCCUCCCGCCGGUACCUCCCCCGCCUUCGAGGAGAGGGGCAGGGGUGCCUCUUCGAGAGGUACCUAGGUUUAGCCCUACCCCCCUUAGCUCCACCACACCACGACCACCGGUGGCCGUCGAAGUUAGGGGGGUGGAUGUACGUGGACGCGUACAAGCUCGAACGUUUCCUGCUCGACGUCGUCGCUCCCAUGACACAAAACCCACCUAUGUACAGCGGCCACUUGCUGCGGAUGUUCUUCUUCCUGGAGAACGGCCGACGAGUGGCCCAAGCGGAGACGCUUAACCGCACGGCUUCGAGCAGAAAGCACUACCAACUAGGGACCCUCCGUUACGUCUUUCCAAUAGUCGCGUGGAACUGGCAAGAUAGAGCUCAAUUCUUGAGAGAUACGUUCCUACCGAAUCGACUAGUUCCACCACAGUUCCGUUACGAAAACACACCAAGACUGGAAGAGCUCAGUAAGUCGUGCGGUCCCCAAACCUAAGGUCUAGUCCAGUCCCGGUAUACAUUUCUGAAACCACAACAGACAUAAGCAUCCCUUCUUUUUCUACAAGUUUUCGAUUAUAGGUCGUCGCUCUGUGACGUUCUUACGUCCCUAUUGUAGUAAAGCCAACUACUCUAACACGGUUUAGUCUAGUCAAGUAGGUCUCAUUCUCUUACAUAUUCUUUUGUAGAGAGCUAUUUCAUAGAAUGAACGCUGCUUCAUUAGCCCAUGUAAUCUCUCGUGUCUGACAUGUACCUUUGACCUCUCUCACUAUGGUCUAGUACUGUUACAACGUUCGGAAAGCCUUGCUGGCAGCUCGUACCUGACACGGCGGAACCCGAAGUUACAAUACUAUUUUAGACUUGAUAGUCGCUGUUCGACGGUAAUAGUACUUACCCAGGCUGACGGAAACUUCGUAGUACUUACCUACGUUUACAUACCUCUGGUCAUCCGAUAUGUGUUAUGAACGAUGAUCUUCCAAGAACUUAGAAGGAAUGUAACAACAGUUACAUAGCCAGAAAGCUGGUUGUCUUAUAUAGCGAUUAUUUCGUAAAUAUACUGUACUUUGAGAAACAGUGUCAUUAUAAGACGGUAAACAAAGUAGGAGAUAUACAUGGUUCUAUAAUAAGUCAUUCAUUAAACUACACGAUGUUUAAGUCAAUUGUGAGACAUUAGGAUCGGUUGUUGUGAUCGUCAACGAGGAUCGACGGAUGGUAGUCGUCGUCGUCGUCUUCUUCCGUUACGGAGAGACGGUACUCCAAAGUACUCCCGAAGGGCCGACGUCGAGCGGCCGUGCUGCCCGUCCUAGGGCGGCCCCAACUCGCCCUUCUCGCAGGGCUUCAUGGGCAGCCGCUACCGCCGGUACAGCGUCCAGAGCCGACGCGGCCCGUCGACCAUCUAGAGGGCGUACAUCCGCACCUCCGACCCCAUGAGGUGGUCGAAGGAGGCCGACGUGGCCUUGUCGCCCAACAUGUGGUCCAGCUUGGCAUACUCGCACCACUUCUCCGUCUGCAGCCGGUCGCAGUGCGGCCGCGGCCGCGUGUCCAUGGCCCUGGGCCUCUCCACCGGGAGCUCGUACAGGUCGCGCCGCUUGUCGAGCCGGCGGCGGCGCAGCAUCCGGCGGACCGAGACGCGCUUGGGCGUGGCCAUGUGCGGCAACAACUGCGAGCCCAUCUACUGCGGCAUGGUCGCCAGCUAGAGGACCGCCACGAGGCCGCCGGUCUCCAGCUCCGGAGGCCGCGGCCGCGGCCUCCGCCGCUCGCACGUCUCCUUGAACCGCUAGAGCUACGAGAGCAACGUCUGGUGGAGCGCCGCCGGCCGCAGGGUCUCGUACCCGUGCCUGCGGGCCGGGAGCUUGGGCGGCGCGGCCCGCCGCAUGUGCAGGGCCUCGGACGCCCUCGGCAUCUCGCGCAGCCCCGAGAGACCGCACUUCCUGGUGCGCGGCAGCAGCGGGCCCUGCCGCUGCCUCUGCCCCUCCGCCCCGGGGUCCGGCUCCUCCCGGGCCUGCUCCUCGCGCGCCACGCGGGUCCCCGUCCCCUCCGGCUGCAUCUCCACCUCCGCGCGCGGCCCCGGCCCGCGCCCGCCGCGCUGCCUGCCCUUCGCCCUGCCCCACGCCCACUUCCGCGGGCACCGGCCCAGCCUCCCGCGCUCGACCGCGUACUCCUCGGAGGUGCGGCUCCAGGUCGGCACCGCCUGCCGCUCGUGCUCGACGCUGCCGCCGUCGCGCGCCGGGGUGUCGUGCGCCCAGUCGCGCCAGUCGCCCAGGAGGACGCUACGCCGCUACGCCGACUCCGGCGCCGGCGCGGCGCUCCUCACUACCCCUUAGCCGCGUCCGGCGGCCUCGACCUCCGCCCCGCCGCCUCCGACGCCCCUGGUGUACCGGCCUCUCCGAGCCACGCGGCGCUGACGGCUGUAGCUCCUCUCUCACCUCCUCCCUCUCUCGGUCUCUCC